rnacentral:piRNA from 10 species
GGCUCGUUGGUCUAGGGGUAUGAUUCUCGG